AGGGCCUGAAGAAAGAAAAAACUUGAUAGGUCUUUUAAACCUCUUUCAAUCCAGUUUCCCUCUAUAUCUCCUUCUUUCCCUUUGCAGUUCAUCUGUGGAAGAACAGGCUGCUUGACCUGUAGAGUUCCUCAAAGUCUGGAUUUUGUCAAUUGCAUCCUCACAGCACAGUUCAUAAUGGCCCUUUGACCUCUUCAUUUCUUGCAAAUUGGCAGCUGGAUCAGACCCAGGUUCCAUUCUGUUGGCAUGAUUAUAGGUGGUUCUGCGUUCUUUUAUCAAGAAGAACCUACACGGCUGGAGUCUUGCUCUCUUUUUUUGACGUUAGCUGCUAUUGUGUAAAAUGGCUCUAUAGAUACAUUAACACACUGCAGGUUGCCAAAUGGCCAUAUUGCAUCAUUUUGUUUUCAUGUAUUAGUUGUAAUGAUUUCAUAAGACGAUGCUUUCCUUAAUCCAUUAUUUGGUUCCCUUGUAGUAAACACAAGAAAGGCAGUGUACUUGUUUCAGUGCCACCUUCCAAAGGGAAGCAGUUAGUGUUUUGGUCAAAUAUUAUUAUGAGCUCAGGGACUGAUAACAUAUCUGAUAAGUUUCAAUCGACUGCAGCUGAAAUUAUCCCAUCUUCAGGUCAGUUUCUAAGUCCUUUGGAUGUAACCCCAGAGCCUUUGACAGCUUCCUUGUUCUCUGAUGUGACAAGAUAUUCCAGGCUUAUCUUGUACACUUCCUGCUGCUGAUCUAGAAUGAACAAUUUCUCCAGGAAGUCCUUUUGUUUUUUUAUAUAGAAAAUGACAUUUCAAGACUAGACUCUGAGUGGUAAGUACUAUUAGGUUGGUCAAUGUUUCUAGACCUUUCUAGCGGAUAGAACUAAUAUUUUAUAAACACAAAUAUAUAUACUAUAUAUACAUAUAUAUGUAUAUAUUCACACAUAUGUGUAUAUAUGUUUUGUGUGUAUCUAUAUGUAUAUGUGUAUAUACAUACAUACGUAUACAUUUCUUUUCAAAAAUAAAUUAUCAGAGUUCCCAUUGUGGCUCAGCGGGUUAAGAACCUGACUAGUAUCCAUGAGAGUGUGGGUUCAAUCCCUGGCCUCGUUCAGUGGGUUAAAGAUCCAGCAUUGCCAUGAGCUAUGGUAUAGGUUACAGACGUGGCUUGUGGUGUAGGCCAGCAGCUGCAACUCCAAUUUGACCCCUAACCUGGGAACUUCCAUAUGCUGCAGGUGCAGCCCUUAAAAAAAAAAGUAAAGAUAAAUUAUCUCUUGAACACAUACUGGUAUUUCCAAUGCAAAUAGAGCAUUACAGGGCUUUUAAUUAACCCCUUCUAUAUGACAUCUGUAUCUCCCUUCUUCCACUCUUAGACUGGUUUUCAAGGACACAGGAGUAAUAAAAUUGAAAGAUUCUAUAAUUACUGAUUUGCAUAAGCCCACUUCACACAUACAACAGUCUCAGAAUAACUAUAGUAAAGCUAUCAUUGCCAAUUUGAAUACUUCUGAAAUACCAUGACCUUUCUCCACCAGUCUGAGAGACUAUACUAUUGCUAGAUUGUCAGAGCAUAGAGGCAUUACAUAUCUUAGGCUUUUUUUCUUUUUCGCCCUUUUUUUUUUUUUUGGCUUUUAGGGUUGCAACUGUGACAUAUGGAGGUUCUCAGGCUACAGGUGAAUCAGAGCUGAAGCUGCUGGCCUACACCACAGCCACAGCAAUGCAGGAUCUGAGCCACCUCUGAGACCUACACCACAGCUCACGGCAAUGCUGGAUCCCUAACCCACUGAAGGAGGGCAGGGAUGGAACCCGCAUCCUCAUGGAUACUACUGAGAUUCGAGACUACUGAGCCACAGUGGGAAGUCCCUUCAUCUCUCUUUUAACCAUCAUUUAGCCUUAGUUCUACCAGUAAAUAUAUAUUGAAGGCUUCACCAGUCCUGAAGCUCACUCCCUAGAAGACCCUUCCGGAAGGGCUCAUGGAUAAAGUACUCUCUGAGUGCUUUAAAGCUGCUAAUAGUUCUUUAUAGAAAGUCAGUUUUUACCUUUGACUUAUUUUUUCUUUUAUCUUAAACAUAUACCAUUUUCUUCUGGCAGAAAGCACCACUGAUGAAGAGUCUGUUGAUAACCUCAUUUUAUUUCCUUUUGUCUAGAUACACAAGAUGCCAUAUGAAUUUUUCUUUUCUCUUUAAAAAUGUGUCAUUUUACCAAACUGUGUCUUGACAUUGGUCAUUCUGGCGGGUCACUGAUGUAUUCCGCGGCUUUGAUUCUGUUUCCCUUCAGUGACUCCUGUUAUUCACAUGCUGGAUUUUCAUUGCUUAUCUUCUAUAUACGUUACUUCCUCUCAAAUUCUUUUGCUUUUAAUUUUCAUUUUUAAAAAUUACACCUUUCCCCUAUUUAUUCCAAAACGCUAUUUGCUGAUUUUAUUUUAUUUUUGUAUUUUUAGGUCCGCACUGCAGUAUAUGGAGGUUCCAAGGUUCCUAUGCUAGGGGUCAAAUCGGAGCUAUAGCCACUGGCCUAUGCCACAGCCACAGCAACUUGGGAUCUGAGCCACAUCUUCGACCUACACCACAGCUCAUGGCAAUGCCAGACGCUUAACCCACUGAGCAAGGCCAGGGAUCGAACCCACAACCUCAUGGAUGCUAGUCAGGUUCAUUAACCACUAAGCCAUGCCAGGGACUCCUGCUGAUUUUAUUUUUGCUUUUAUAUUCCGUUUAGUUUAGUUUUCAUUUUCUAGUUUUUCUUUUAUCUUUAGUUCUUUUAUAAAUUGUCACUUUUCUAAAUUUUUAUUUUUUUAUCUUUAAAUGUUUCUGGAUUCACCUAUGGCAUGCAGAAGUUCCCAGGCCAGGGAUAGAACCCACGCCACAGCAGCAACCUGAGAUCCUUAACCUACUGUGCCACAAGGGAACUCCAUUAAUUCUUAUAAUUCUGAUUUAUGUUGCUAUUUUUUUGUCAUAUCAUUGUGUUGAUAUCUUUUAACCUGUUUUAAUCUUUCUAAAAAAUGUCUUUCUGGGAGUUCCCAUUGUGGCCCAGUAGUAACAAACUUGACUAGUAUCCACAGGGAUCCGAGUUCAAUCCCUGCCCUUGGUUAGUGGCUUAAGGACCCAGUGUUGCCGUGAGCUAUGAUGUGGUGGCAGACAUGGCUUGGAUGCCAUGUUGCUGUGGCUGUGGUGUAGGCUGGCGGCUAGAGCGUUGAUUCAGCCCCUAGCCUGGGAACUUCCAUAUGCUAUGGGUGCAG
rnacentral:lncRNA from 1 species